GGUUCGAAGCUUUGGCGAGGGUUUGGAGUGCAACGGCGAUGUUUUGCGUGCUGUGGCGGGUGAGUUCGAGGGAGAGGAGGUGAGGGGGGAGGAAGGGGGUGUUGAAGGGGAGUGCGGCGAGGGGAACGCGGUGGAACGUGAUGGAGGGAGUGGUGGCGGUGACGGUGGCGAUGUAUUGAGCAUUAGAGUCGCAGGCUAAGGUGGUGGUGGUGGUGGAAGGGGUGGUGGGAGGAGUGAGGAUGAGAAUAGUGAUGGAAAGUGAAGGGUGGUGGGUCAGUAUGAGUUUUCCCAACUCCACCAUGGAAACUAGGUGUCCCCUACCAAGAUUAGGGUAUAGAACAAUGGUGUCUUUCAUGUUGGAGAAGAGGUAUGAGUUUUUGAAAUGGAAUUGGAUCUAGUUCCAACAAAGAUGCUUGCUCUAUUUAUGGACAGUGAGCCACCCUACUGUUAUUUUUUUUUUUUUUAAGGAAAAUGUCUGGUGAGCACCGAUUGAUCUAUGAUACAUCUAAGGAUAUCGAAGAAAAAAAAAUAUAGAGAGAUUUAAUAAAAUUUAUGGUGCAAUAAGAAGAAAGACAAAAAAAGAAAAUAUUACUCAUUUUUUGGACUAACUUUGAUGACUUCAUAUUAUAAAGAGAAUAUUCUUAUUUCUUACCAGUAGACACCAAGUAGUGAGUAUUAGAUGGUUUGGGAUUAUGAUUCUUUCUGCAUGAUAUAUUAGUUAAAAUUGUUUCUAAUUACUUCUCAUAAAUUAAAAUUUUGAAUAUAUUAUCUUUAUCUUUCAAUGUAAGAAUUUUUUUUUUUGAAAACAAAUUGUUUAUCUCUAUUUAUAAUUUUUUUUUAGUUGUCUCUUGCAUUAGUUUUCUUUUUAACGAAAUAUUCUUAAUUAUUUUACAUAAAUAUUAUAAAUUAAUAAGAUAACUAAAAAAUUGACUAAUAUGUUUAGAUUAAAUUUAUAAUAAGAAAUAAUCGAUUUUUUUUUUAUGAUAAAGACAAAACAACACUAUUAUUUCAAGGUAUCACAGUGAUCUUGAGGGGUAGAAGUGAUUCUUGAAAUCUUGAAACUAUUUAAAUUUAAGGAUAAUUAAAUAUAUAUAUAUAUAUAUAUAUAAAUUAUUAACAAAUUAAAUGUUAUUAACUAAUUAGUAAUUAGUUUUCUUAAUUCUUAAUAUGUAUGAAUAAGUUAAAAGUGUUUUAUAUGUGUUUAAGGAUGAAUAUAGUAUUUCAUAGAUAUUGGUUGGGAUUAUAAACACACAAUAGUUUCAAAUAAUUUCUUGACAAUCAUAACACUUAUUUAAUAUCUAUGAGAAACAUAAAAAUAUGGUAAGUGAUAUAAUAAGAAAAUAAAAUAAUAAGUAUUAAUAAAGUAUAUAAGAUUAGAACGUGUCUAAAUAUAUAAUUUUUCUUAUAUUAUUUAAUGAGAUAAUUGUUUAUAUAUAUUAUAAUUAUUUUUUGUUCUUUCAGAAUGAGAAAAAUAUAAGAGGAAAAUAUAAGAGGAGUGAUCCACACGCAUUUAUUUUAUUUUUAAUAAAUUUUAAAUAAAAAAAAUAUGGUGUUAGUAUUUUUCAAAUGUAUUUAGAAGUGAAGAACAAGAAGAGGAAAUCUUACUUUUUGAUCUUUAUUUAACAAGGGAUUUAUUGGUUCAACUUAUUACAUAUAUGCAUCAAGUUGGUUUAGAAGUCAAGAACAAGAAGAGAAAAUCUUACUUUUUGAUCUUUAUUUAACAAGUGAGUUAUUGGUUUAACUGAUUAUAUAUAUGCAUUUUAAGUUGCUCUAAUACUGUUUAUUGUGAUAAUGAAGAACUGUAGUGUCAUGAGACAUAUGGUUCCAAUGCAAUCAAUUGAUUUUAUAAUGCAUAUACAUUCACUAUUACACGAAAGUUAUUCUACCCCACCGUUUAUUGCAUCGGUUCAAUUCAUUAAGAAUCGGUGUAAAAUAAAAUACAUUGACAUUUUGUAAAUUAAAACAAAAAAUAUUACACCAACUUUAUAUAAAUCAAUACAAAUUAAAUUUAUAUAUUUUAAGUAUAUAUAUUAAUUGCUAUAGAGCCUUUUAAAGAAUAUAUAAUAAUCUAAAUAUAAAGUAAACUUUAUAUUUUAACAUAAACAAAUAUUAAUCAAUAUCCUUAUAAUAUUGAUUAAAAAUUAAUUUUUUUUAUUAAAAUACAUAAAAUUAUAUGAUACAUAACUUUUUUUCUACAUUCUCCUGUAAUUCUCAUAAUAAUUUUUUCUUUUAAUUCUUUAAUCAAUACUUAAAAAAAACACUUAUUACUAAGACCCUUGACCAUAUGAAAGCAGGAAGCUGUCGCACACACGAGACGUCCCUUAAGGAAGGGGCCGGGACAAUUUAACUUAAUGACAUUAAGUUAAAUACACUUUUUUUGGUUGAAUGAUUAAGUUAAAUACACUACAUUGUCAAUGUUAAGAUAUAAUAAGAAAAAAUAUAAUAUAAUAUUCAUAGUUUUCAAGAAAUCUCGAGAAAGUAUUAUUUUCUCUAUAAAACAAGAUAAUGACUGAUUGACUGUUGUCAUUUGUCUAGAAUUCAGGUACGUUGUUUAUUCAUGUUAAGUUUUCUUCUCAUUGUGGACACUGAUAAAACGUGUGGAUGUGAUGACGGGUUUGUGUUUUUCUACUCUGAUAAGAACUAUUUUAAAAUAUUUCUAUAUGCAUAAUUAAGUAUUUUAUAAUUUCAUACAUAUUAUUUAAUACUUAAUAUUUAUUUACUUUAUACAUAUUCCUAUUUUAUCCCAUUAGUGAAGUGUAAAAAUAAUAAAAUAAGGUAAUCUCACUAUAUAUUAUAAAAUUUUUAUUCAACAUAUUAUUUAAUAUAAAUUUAUAAUAAUUUUGACUUGUAAAUUAAAAUUAUAUUAUCGAUUAAGAUGUUAAAUAUUAAAUAUUAGAAUUCAAAUUAUCAUAAUUUUUAAAAUAAAUAUUCUUUUACUAAUUUUAAGAAAAGUAAUAACAUGACAAAAAUUAUUUUUUAUAAUUUAGAUAAAAUUAUACUUUUUAUAAUUUGUAAAAUUCAAAAAUAAAUUAAAGUUACAUUUAUAAAAUUAUACAUAAUUUUUAUAAAAUGAUGAUUUUGCCAUUUCAACCUAAUUUAUAUCUUAUACUAUUAUCAUCUAAUUCAUGUCAAAUACGAGACAGGAUAACACAAUAAUACCAUUGGGCCACAAUAAUAGGUUUAUUGUACACCAAACAUUAGACAAGUAAAGUUCAUUCUCAUCUUAUCAUAUUCUACUCAAAUUAUAUCCUAAUUACCAAAUAAGCUGUAAGUUUUUUGGGUAUUACUCUUUAACUAAAAGUUAAGUUUUCAUAAGUGCUUUAGUAAUUAAAAUUAUAUUUUUUAUAAUGUGUUCUCAUUUUUAAUAUUAUUUUUAUUUACAAAAUUUCUAUUUAUUUAUUCCUUAAUUAUUAUCUUUAAAAUAUAUUAAACUAAAAUUAUGAUUUUAGCUCAAUAACUCAUUCAAAUAAAUAUCAAUAAAUUAAAGUACGAUAAUGAUUAUCAAAAUAAAAGUUUAAUUUUAUGUUUAAAAAUAUUUUUUUCAAAUAUAUUUGUGAGACUCCAACUUGCACGUCCCUCUCCUCGUCGUGUAUAACAGUUCUUCAUAGCUGGAAAUAAUUAUUGAUGGAUUGAUGAUCCCAAAAUAGAAUGCAUGAUUGGGGCGGGUCUGUAAGAAGAGCUUCUUCUAGAACGAACCUUUAUGACGAACGAGUAAUCAAGAUUAUCUUUAUUGGAAGAUCUUCUCGAACGCAUGUUUAAGAUUACGUGAAUGUGGUACACAACAUAACAUAUAUAUGGAAAGAAAUUGACCUUUUAAAUAGAUUUAAGAGACUAUUUUCUGAAUUUUGAUAUUCAUUCAAAAUAAAGAAAUAAUAGCCAAGCACCAAUUGCCAUUUUUAAUAUAUAUUUUUUAUUAUUAAAAAAUGAUAUAAAUUUUAUUUAAUAAUUAAUAAAGAAUAUAUUAUCAAGGUGUCAAAUAUAAUAUCAGUUAAUAUUUCUAUUAAGCCUAUUUAAGAAAGUAGUUUAUAUCUAUAUUAAAUAAAGAAAUAAUUGUCAGAAUUUCAAUGAGGAGAGGAGCAUGGACAGGAAAUGUUGUAGAGAAUCAGAGUCAUAUAUAGAAUUAUUGAAGAAUCACUUGAGGCUCUGCAGUACUGUAAUGGCAGUGAAGUUAACGUGAAGGAAAUUGCUUAAGUGGAGGUUGGAUUGUUAGAUACGAUUAUUAUCUUAAUCAAGUUGUUGGAUUGAUAUUUUAAUCUAUACAUGCUGAUUGUACUAUAAACCUUAUGUAAUUGUCACUUUUUCUUUUAUGGGGGCGUCAGAGUGGGUUAGGGAAUUAGAAUUGGACUUGUGUCAUAUCCAAAGCCAGUGUUAAUAAAAUUCUUUUUGGGCUGCUAAAAAAAUUUAAAGAAUAAUUAAUUGCGCAAAUUAUGUAUCACUGAUAGUAAAAAAGUAUGUGUAAUUAUUUAAAAAAAGAGUAUUAAUAUAUAAAAAUAAUACAUAAAAAUAGGUGUAAUAUUUAAAUUAAAUAUAAAUAGAUCGUUUUGUGAAAAAAGUAAUUAUUUAUUAAUUAAAUUGUCUUUUCUAAGACGUGUCCAGUUUCGGUUGAGAGAAUAACUUAAAUAUUACUAUUUAUCAUUCUACAAGAGCAUAAACACGAGGCAUUAAGAAAAAAAAUAUUUCAACCGUGCAAGAGUCUCGAGUCAAAAAAGAGUGGCAACCUUUUUCAUCUGAAUUAUUGUGAGACAUUGUACAGAUGCCCACGGCAGUUGGGACCCUAAACAACACUUAUUAAUUAAAAAACCACAAAGUUAAUGAACUUUUUGAUUGGUUUAAUUUGUAUGAUGUUAAAAGGAUUUAGGGGUAUAGUAGGGUACUACCAACAGGAAUUGGUUUUAGUCGAAAAGGCUAAUCUCUCCAAAUGUGGCAAAUUAUAAUUUAAAUUCUUAUUGAAAAAGUUGUCUAUAUUUAGUGUACAACAUUCUCUCAAAUAGAACUACAUUGAAAAAACAUACAUGUGGGGGAGAAAAGAAAAAGAAUUUGGGACAUGCAAGGUUACUGAGCAGCUUAACAUUUAGUUCUUGCAAGCUGAUAACUCUCCCAUGUGUGAUAUCCUUUUUAACUAAACCCUUGUUUCUCUUCUCAACCACGAGUGCUGCUCUAAGUGAGGAAGAUAUCAUAAGUGAUAGGAAAGGCUUCAGAGCCUAACUCUUUAGUUGCUUUUCCUGCUAAAUCCUAGCUUCUUUUCUUUCUCCUUCAUCUUUUGAUUACUGAACUAUGAUUGCAUACUCAUCAGAUCCUAGCUUGAAAAUAAUUCAGUGGCCAUCGUUUCGGCUUGCAAGCAAGGUCUGUGUGAGAUUUAUUUUUUCAUAUGCAUGUGUUUGUUACCAGUUCAUAUAAUUGACUUGUUGCCUACAUUUGCAGAUUCCCUUAGCACUGGAUAUGGCAGCUCAAUUUCCAGGAAAGGACUCUGAUCUUUGGAGGCGCAUAUGUGCAGAUGAAUGUGUGAAGUGUGUUGUGAUUGAAUGCUAUGACUUUUAAAAAUGUCCUGAAUGCUUUGGUAGUAGGAGAAGCUGAAAAAUGGUAGCUUUCAGUAUCUUUUCCUGUUCAUGUUUGUCUAUUUCAGUUUACAGUUCAUACUAGAAUCAUUAUAAAUGUAAGAAUAUAAAUAGCCUUAGCCAUGUUUCUUUUGGGUAGCAAAACUAUGAUCCAAUUCUAUUAACAUUCUAUCCAGCUUUCUUUUCCCAUGUGUUUUUUAUUUAUUUAUUUUAUAUGCAGACUCCAAAUUUGGCUCUUGCUGUUUCUAUUUCAUGAAAAGCAAGUAGCGUUGUUUUAUGUGCAUAUACUAUUCAUUUAUUUUUAUCUAUUUAUAUUGUAAAUGUCUGUCUGGACUCAGGAUUACUGAACUCAAAAUAAAUAAAAAGAACAUAUGGUUAACUUCAUUAACUCAAAAUUGCAUACUGCAUUAUAUUGGUCACCCAAAUUUUGUGUCAGCUGCUUGUGUUGUUUUUCUUAAUUAACGAAUAAAAUUUAAGUUAUAGACAUUUCAUUAAAAUUAUGUCAUCAGUCAUUAUCAUUAGUUCUGAAUUCAUUGUAAUGGAACAGGACAAUCUCUGUCAUCAUUAAGGAAUUUGAAAACAGCAUCUCUAAGAAUACACUUGUUGGAAAUUUUUGAAUGGGGUUUUUGCCUUCCCUUUGUAAGAAGUUUGUGGAGAUUGUGGAAAUCUUGGUGAGUCAUUUAAAGGAAAACUAAUCAUAUAUUACCUUUGUAGUCUUAAUGGGUUCUUGUCUCUAACUAUCCUAUUUAGAAGCUUAGACAUUCCUUUCUGGUUACAGAAAGAUGCAGAUUCAUCCAAACAAGGUAUUAUUGUUGAAGAUGAAGACCUAGAGUUCGUUCCUGGCCAAUUUAAUUACUGUUAUUUUGAUGAUUAAUUAACUGUUUUCAAGUUUAACUACCUCUGCUAUGAAUGCCAAAUUAAAAUUGCUAUCAUAAUCUAAAUUCCAAGUUUGCACCAUGCUCAGUAUUCUUAUUCUUAUUUCCAGAUUUGGAUACAACUGUACUCGAUCUAAAUUAGUUGCAUCAUGGAUCCUUUUGAUUAUGUGCUUCACUCGUUUUGAAUUUCAUCAUCAUGCUUAUGUCAGGUGGUUUUAUUAUAGUAUUCAUGUCAUUUGUGAAUCUGAUUGUAUAUAUCUUUUCAUGUCAUUUACCAUGCUUGUCAAGAUUCUAAUAAGAGAAAAAAGGAUGGCUCAAUAUCGUGCUCUCUAAGGAAGAACAGAAGAUCUUCUAUUGCUGGUGAGGAGGAUAAAGGUGGUAAAACCUCAAGGCAGCUGAGAAAACAAGCAGCUCGUAAACCUGCAAACAGUUCAUUCAAUGAGGAUGUUGAAGAUUUGGAAGGAACUAACCUGAACUUAUUAUUGGACCAUGGAAUGUUUUAUGCUUCCAACUCAUUUUUUGACUAUGCCAAGAACAGAAGGAUAUUAUGGGGAUGGUCAAAGGAGUGUGAAACCACACAAGAUGAUUAUGAGAAAGGAUGGGCUGGUCUACAGGUAUUUUAUCUCCAUGUUGGGUAUUUUCUUUUAAUUAUUUCAGCACCCUCCAUGUUAAAAAUUGUUUUAGGACCAUAUUAUCAUCAUAAAGUGAUCUACAUAUUUUGAGAUAGUGUGUUGUUUGGCUAUGUAGAGUAUUCCAAGGCAAGUUUGGCUUCAUAAAAGUGGGAAGUGGUUGAUGCAGUGGCCAAUUGAAGAGGUAGAAAAACUACAUGACAAACAAGUUAGCAUAAUGGGAGAGAAACUGGUUAGUGAAUCAACUAUUGAAGUCUCUGGUAUCCCUGCAUCACAAGUAAGUAAACUGGUGCUGCAUUUUCUUACAUUCUUUUUUUUAUGAACUUUAUAACAUAGGACAACAUCAAUGAGAUUUUUCUUUACAACUUAACCUUUCAAGGUCGAUGUAGAAGUGUGGUUUGAGCUACCUGAACUAGAGAAUAUGGAGUGGCUAAAUGAAAGUGAAGUUGAUCCCCACUUGCUGUGUAGUGAAGAGUAUGCAUCAAGAAGUGGCAUAAUAGGUAUGUGGCCGCUGGUUGAUCUCUUGCAUUGGAUACAACUAUUGGUAUGUGGCCGCUGGUUGAUCAUUGGUGCCAGUUCUUGCAGGUAAUAUACUUGAUUAUUAUUUAUUUACACAUUUUUAACUUUCUCGAGUUAUGUUGUGAAGCUUUCUUAUUAGGAUGGCUUUCAGAGGGAUCUGCUAAUACUCGAUCAUUUUACUCAAAUUGAUAAAUUUUGAUACUACAUACUCAGGCUCGGCAUAACAAAGCAAUAUCUAGGGACACAUGGUCUCAGCUUUUGGAGUUUGCAAAGGUAAAAUAAUAAACUAUUAAUCCUUACCGUAAACAUAGUCAAUGGUGCCCUCAUAAUGUGAAUGAACACUUCCUGUCUUCAUAGGGAUUUAUUGUUGCAUGAAUAUAUCUAUAUCUAUGCUUGAUGUCUGGCUAUCUGUCUUUUAUUCUGUUUGUCUCAUUUUGUCUGCGUAUGAUCAUCUUGCACUUGGUGGCUAGUUAUAGUAUCCAAGCAACUUUCAUUUUAAAUCAUUAAGGUCUUCUUUCUAUCUUGACUGAUGGGGGAUCUGAAGACCGAAAAGGAUUAAGCGAUGAAGCCAUGGAGUGGAAUCAGAUCCAAGAAAAGGAUUAAGGUUUUCUUAUUUUUACUUUAUUAAUAUUGUUUUAUUUGCAGGUGAAAAGCUGCUUAAGACCAACUGUAAGAUAUAUGUGUCCUCAAUGGAGUUGGGAUUUUUUCUGCAUAAAUCAUUUAUUUAUGUUAUGCAGGCCCUUUCUAUACAUAGUUGAAUUUAUAGUUUAAUUUGGUUGGUUGAGAAUGUGGAAGUCUAUUUUUGGUUGCUUUUGCAGGGGAAUGAAAAUGUCUUUGUUGGUGAAGGGUAGGUGAGAGAAAUGAAAGGUGUGUUGGGUUGAAUAGGUAUGGGAUCAAUGAGCAACAACAACGCACGAAAGGUGGUGUGUGUGACGGGUGCUUCUAUAUUAACCUUUUCUAUUAUUAGAAAUUUUCUUUUUUCUAUUAUUUUAUUAUAUUUUUAUUUUUAUUUAAAAAAACAUUUUAAAAUGAUUUUUUGAAAAAUCACCUUAGAGAAACACAUUUUUCUAAGAUGGUUUUUUUGAAACCAUCUUUAAAAAUAGACUAUUAACAUUAUUUAUAUGUUGUUUAGAAUUGUCAUUGUACGUCUUUUUUGUUGUAAUGAAUUUUAAAUAAAAAUAAGAAUAUAUAAGUGAGGGACAACCUUCACCCGUUGAGCUAGUUUUUGGGGUUCAGUUAGGUCUCUCAUAUUAUUCAUUUUAAGAUGGUAUGUUGAAAAUAAUCUAAGUCUCACAUAUAUUAAAAGUAAUCACACAUUAGAAUAUAUAAGUGAGCGAAACAUUGACGGAGAGCAUGAAAAAUAAGUAUUGAUUAUUUUAUCAAUUAUUAUUAAUUUUUAUCCUAUUAAACAUAUAACUUAGUCAUUUAUAAUUUAUUAUGUUCUAAUUUCUUAUAAUUUUAUAUUAUUUUAUUACUCAGAAUGAUACAUAAUAUUAAACAUAGCGGCCGCCAAAGUGGCUUGUUGUUCAGGACCUGUAGGGGCCAGUUAUAUUCAGAGGGCGGUGGUGGGCCGUGAUGGGAACGGAGAAGGGAGCAAUGGAAGACUGGGUGGAUAUGUGCGUCCGGUGGGAGAUUGAGUCGAUAGGCGACCAGACCAAUGCGUUCAACAAUUUGAAAUGGGCCAAAGAAGCGCUUAGAGAGUUUUGGGUGGUACGGUCCGGUGACCGACGUCUGUCGUCUUGGGCGCAGCUUGACAUAUACCCAUUGCCCCUAUUCGAAGGUGAUAUCAUCGCAUUUGACAUCAACGUACCUCUUCAUAGCAUCUUGGGCCUUCUUUAAGCGUUGCUUAAGUUUGGAGUGCAAUUGUUGACGAGACUCAAGCAAGGUUUGGACAACUUCGUUAUUCGUCAUGCCCGUGACAUAAUCGAGGAUUGUAGGUGGUGGCUUACCGUAGAUGAUCUCAAAUGGAGUCAUGCCAAAGCUCGAGUGAAGUGAGUAUUGUAACUCCACUCUGCAAGGGAUAGAUACUGGUGCCAUGUGGAUGGUUGAUCAUGAACGAAGCAGCGGAGGUAUUGCUCAAGUAUUCGGUUCAUCACCUUCGUCUGGCCAUCGGACUGAGGGUGGUACGUCGUGCUGAGUCGCAAUCGUGUGCCGCUUAAUCGGAAUAACUCCUUCCAGAACUUGCUUAAGAAGAUAGGGUCGCGGUCAGACACUAUGCUUUUAGGAAACCCAUGUUGUUUACAGACGGUGUCAAUGAAGAGGCCGGCGACCCUGAACGCUGUGAAUCCCGUGGGAAGAGCACCCAAAUGCACCCCCUUCAAGAACCUAUCUACCACAACCAUGAUGACAGUAAAUCCGUUAGAGGUUGGUAAAUGGGUGAUGAAAUCCAUUGAAAGGUCUUCCCACACGCCCUCCGGUGCCGGCAAGGGUUGCAGCAGUCCAGCUGGGCGCUUAUGGAGAUUUUUAUUCUGUUGGCAGGUAACACAUUCUUUAAUAAACCUCUUAACAUCCUAUUGAAGGUUGAGCCAGAAAAAACUUGAUGCGAGACGAUGGGUUGUUUUGGCAACACCUAAAUGGCCUCCAAGUGGGGUCGCGUGAUGCUCCGAAAUGAGGAUAUGGAGAUAAGGAUUGCUGUUAUUAAGCCAGAUGCGUCCCUUGAACAAUAUUAAUCCAUCGCCGAAAGAGUAAUCAAGGUAAGAGGUUGGGUGUUCCUGAAUGGCAUCCUUGAGUUGCUAGAAUUUCAGGUUAUCAGCGAGUGACUACUUAAUAUCAUGGAGGAAAUCAAGUUGUGGUAUGGAGAGGAUGAGGAACUGGCCCUCUGGGUUUGGAGCUCACGAAAGGGCAUCUACUACUACAUUCAUUGCGCCGGACUUGUACUGGAUGGAGUUCUCAUAGCCAAGCAGUUUCGAAAGGUAAUAAUGUUGUUUCGGCGUUUGAAUGACUUGUGUCAUUAACUCUCGGAGACUUUUGUGAUCGGUGAGGAUCGUGAAUGGCCGGCCCAGGAGGUAUUGCCUCCACUUCCUCACUGCCGUCACGACGGCGUGGAGUUCACGUAUAUACGUGGAUGCAUGAAGUAGCCGAGGUCCAAGGUGCUUACUAAAAUACGCCAAGGGGUGGCCAUUCUGCAACAGCACUGCACUAAUAGUUGUUCCAGAUGCAUCAGUUUCAACCACGAAGGGCUCGGAGAAGUUAGGUAGGGCAAGUACAGGUGCAUUGGUCAUGGCGAGUUUGAGCUGGUCGAAGGCCUGCUGAGAGUCCGGGGACCAAUCGAAGGCGUCUUUGCAAAGCAAGGUCAUGAGUGAGGUCGUGAUGGAAGCAUACCCUUUAAUAAAUUUUCUAUAAAAUCCAGUAAGCCCUUAGAAUGCACGUAGUUCUCGGACCGAAGUUGGUGGUGGCCACUGCAACAUAGCUUGGACCUUGGAGGGUUCUGGAGUAACACCCUUGCCAGACACGAUGUGGCCGAGAUAUUCAAUGGAUUCUUGAGCAAAGAGGCACUUAGAAUGCUUAAGGUAAAACUCAGCGUGUUGGAGGGCUUGAAAUAUAAUCUCCAGGUGGUAUAAAUGUGAGGAUAACGAAUCACUAUAAACCAAUAUAUCGUCAAAAAAACUCUGGCAAACCUUCGUAGGAAUGGUUGCAGGAGUUGGUUCAUAGCGGAUUGGAAUGUUGAAGGUGCAUUGCAGAGCGGAAGGUGCAUUGCAGAGCCCAAAGGGCAUCACCAAAUAUUCGAAGUGGCCAUUAUGGGUGCGGAAGGCUGUUUUCUCGAUGUCUAGUUCACUCAUCAAGAUCUGGUGGAACCCCUGUCGGAGGUCCAGCUUUGAGAACCACGAAGCAUGGCCCAAUUCGUCAAGCAAUUCAUCUAUUGUCGGAAUGGGGAAGUGGUCGCGAAUGGUGACUGAGUUUAAGGCUCUGUAGUCAACACAUAGCCGCCAAGUGGCGUCCUUCUUCUUAACCAAGAGUACGGGGGAAGAAUAAGGACUGGUACUCGAUCUGAUCAGUCUGGCGACGAGGAGGUCCGAGACUUGUCUUUCAAUCUCAUUCUUUUGGAAGUGUGGAUAGCGGUAAGGUCGAACGGAUAUUGGGGUAGUGAAGGGAUGAAGGGUGAUACGGUGAACCACCUAGCGUGGCGAAAGGAGUCGAGAUAGGGUCCGGAACACGUGCUCAUAUUGGUGAAGGAGGUGUUCCACAGAGAUGAAAGGGUGUUGGGUCGUGGUUGGGUCGGGUUGGUCCGUGGGUAGGAGGUGUAGUUGGUAUAAGGCCGAAGUGGAACCCGUUUGGAUGAAGUGCUUCAGUUCGGCCGCUGAGGCUGGUUCGGGCCCAAGAUUAACAUCUGCCUUGAGUGUGAUAUCUCGACCCAGGUGGUUAAAAUGCAUGAUGCAUUCUGCGUAGUCAGUCGUAACUGGACCCAGGUGUUUCAACCAAUCUAUCCCUAACACUGCAUCUGCACCACUUAUCUGGAGCAAGUGGAAGGAGACCACGAAGGGGUGACCUUGGAUAGUGACCUGAGUUUCAGGACAAACCUGGUCACUGGCUAACGUAGAACCGUUGCCCACCAUUACUUGGAGGGGAUGAGUAGUUUGUAGAAGAAGUUUAAGGAAUUGCGCGAUUCGUGGUUGAAGGAAGUUAUGAGUACUUCCACUAUCAAUCAGGACUGUGAGACGUGCUUUUUUAAUGGUGCCAAAGAUUCGGAAGGUUUCCGAUGAGGGUAGUCCACCAAGAGCGUGAAGACUGAUGUGUGAGCAGACCGCCUCCGGUAUCGGUUUUGGAGAGUUCCCGUGAGCUGCUGUCUGAUCAUCUUGUGGUUCAGGUUCAAUGGCCUCAUUGAUUUGUGACUGUUCGUCAGUGAUGAAGAGUAACACUCGACCCUUGCACCUGUGGUUAGCACUCCAUUUUUCAUCACAAUUAUAGCAUAAUCCUUUUUUCUCGCCGGAAAGCCAUUUCUGCCGGCGUGCGCUUCACAAAUGGUGUAGUUUUGGAUGAAGUAUUCGAAGCUUGAGGAACGAAGGGCCUGGGUUGGGGAAAGCUUCGGGGUGCCUGGUUCGUUCGAUCACGUAGCUUCUCUUCUUGAAGCUUAGCUAGGGCUGUAGCUUGGAGUAGGGAUAUUGGUUGAAGAGCCAUGACCUCACGUCGAACUUCAGGGUUUAAUCCUGAGAUAAAGCAACUUAAAAGGAAAGGAGGUGGAUGACCUACCACGCGGUUUGCUUACCUCUCAAACUCCGUUAGGUAUUCGUUCACCGUGCAUGUUUGCGUUAAUUUGAACAAUGCUCCUUUAGGAUCAUCAUAAAAUGUUGGCACAAAUCGUGAUUCAAGAGCUUGCAGAAAGCCUUCCCAGGACGUGAUAAAGUCGUUGCUGAACAUCCAUUGAUACCAGUUUAAGGCGGCGCCGUCGAGGUAUAGGGAUGCGACUGUGAUUCGUUCUUCCUCAGGUGCAUUUUGAUAUUGGAAAAGCUGCGUGAUCUUGAAGAUUCGGCCUAAUGGAUCGCGUCCAUCAAAACGCGGUAUAUCUAGUUUAACUGUGUUGCAUUGAUGGCUAUGAUGGUUUGUGGCAGGUGUGUUUGUGUGGUUGCCGGAAUCGUUGGAACGAAGGUGCUCUAGAAUGGAGUCUACCUUGCCCGCAAGGUCGUUGUAACGUUCAUUGAUAGAAGCAUGGCCAUUAGAGAGCCUCACAAUGGCUUCUUCAAGGCGAUCAGUUGUUGUUUUCCUGGUUCCGUGGUCAGCCAUGGAGAUGGAGACGGCGGAGGUCGGACCAGUUGUUAGGUGUUGCACGAAGGGAAAAGGAAGAGCACGAUGGCUCGCGGUGGAGGAAUGAAUCUAGACGUGAAGAGGGAAGGAUGCGCCCUUAUUCGAGGAAGGGAAUAACUCUUGAGUAAAACGUAUAUUUCUCAUGCCUUUAUUAUGUAGUAGCAAGGCUUCAUGGUGAAUGUGAUUCAAAGGUGUUUUGAUGAUAACAAUGAUGACAACAAAAGAUGAUGACAAAGGUGAUGAACAAAAAGCUCAAAGAUCAAAGAACAACUCAAGUGAAUCAAAGAACAUCUCAAGUGAAUCAAGAACAAGUCAAGAGUUCAAGAAUUAAGAAGAAUUCAAGACUCAAGAAGAAAGCCUAGAAUCAAGAAUCAAGAUUCAAGAUCUCAAGAAUCAAGAUCAAGAUUCAAGAAUGAAGAAAAGACUCAAUCAAGAUAAGUAUUAAAAAGUUUUUUCAAAACUUUGAAUAGUACAUGGUUUUUUGACAAAACCUUUACCAAAGAGUUUUUACUCUCUGGUAAUCGAUUACCAUAUUAUUGUAAUCGUUUACUAGUAGCAAAAUGAGUUUGAAAAAGUUUUCAAACUGAGUUUACAACGUUCCAAUUAUUUUCAAAAGGCUGUAAUCGAUUACAAUGUUUUGGUAAUCGAUUACCAAUGCUCUUGAACGUUGAAAUUCAAAUUUAAAUGUGAAGAGUCACAUCUUUUCACUCAAAAGCUUUGUGUAAUCGAUUACACUUAUUUGGUAAUCGAUUACCAGUGACUGUUUCUGAAAAAAUCAAAAGAUGUAACUCUUCAAAAAGGUUUUGACUAUUUCAAAUGGGUUUUAAGUUUUUCUAAAAGUUAUAACUCUUCUGAAUGGUCUUCUUGACAAGACAUGAAGAGUCUAUAAAAGCAAGGCUUUGUUUUACAUUUCAACGAUCAAAAAUACUUUUUGCUUUUCCAAUCAAUCCUUUACAAGCCUUGAAAUCUCUUUGAACUUCUUCUUCUUCUUUGUACCAAAAAGCUUUCUGAAGUUUUCUGGUUUUCUAAACCUUGAAAACUUGUGCUAUUCAUCCUUUUCAUUCUCUUCUCCCUUUGCCAAAAAGAAUUCGUCAAGGACUAACCGCCUGAAUUCUUUUUGUGUCUCUUUUCUCCCUUUUCCAAAAGAACAAAGGACUAACAGCCUGAAUUCUUUUGUGUCUCCCUUCUCCCUUGUCAAAGAAUUCAAAACGACACAGUCUGAGAAUUCUUUUGAUUCUUUCCUUUCCCUAAUACAAAAGUGUUCAAAGGACUAACCGCCUGAGAAUUCUUUUGUAUCUCCAUUCACAAAGUAUCAAAGGUUUAACAACCUGAGAUCUUUGUCUUAACACAUUGGAGGGUACAUCCUUUGUGGUACAAGUAGAUGGUACAUCUACUUGGGUUUGACUGAGAACAAGAGAUGGUACGUCUCUUGUGGAUCAGUUCUAGUGUAGGGUAUAUCCACUAGGUUCAAAGAGAACAAGGAAGGAUACAUCCCUUGUGGAUCUUUGCUUGUAAAAGAAUUUUUACAAGGUUGAAAGAAAGCUCAAGGACCGCAGGUCGCUUGGGGACUGGAUGUAGACACAAGUUGUUGCCGAACCAGUAUAAAAACUCGUGUGUGUUUGUUUCCUUCUUCCCUACUCUUUUACUUUCCGCUGUGCAUUUAAUUUUCGCUUUUACUUUUUGUUAAGUUUCUCUUCUACUCCUCAUUCUCUUAACAAUUUAGUAAAAGCCUUAAAAGAAUAAUUUUUUAAUUGGUAAAAGUUUAAAAAUAAUUAAUUCAAUCUCCCUUCUUAAUUAUUUUGAGACCACUCGAUCCAAGAUAUUAUAAUGUAUAUCAGCCUUUUAUAGCUAGUGGUACAUGCCAGGAUAACUGCCCUGCCUAAUUCUGUUGUAACUAUUAAUUCUUAUCAUCACGUGCUUUAUUAUUAUUUCAUGUACAAGCUUUUAUUCCCUCCCGGUAAACCCGUCACGUGAUAGUCACGUAAGUGCAGAGGCACUUUCUUGGCACGCACAGGUCUCGUGCUGCUGCUAACAUUAAACUUCAUAAAUGACUUUAAUGACUAAUAAAGAUAUUGACGCACAAUGACUAACAAGACGGUUUUUGGCCUGAGAAAAUGAAGUAAGUUUUUCACACUGUGGGAAACAAAAUUUACACCGUUAGAUAUAUUGCUUUUUAAAUCAAAGGCUGAAAUUAUUUGCUCUUUUUUCCUUUUUUUCAUUUUUUCUCUCGUUCACAAACUAAGUGUAUAAUAACAUAUUAAAUGUUCAUAAAUAAUUUUUCUAAAACAAAGAAAAAUAAGAGAUUAAAAAUGAUAAAAAAAUUAUAAAUAUAAUAAAUAUUUGAUUUAAUAAAAAGAUAAAAAUGAAAGGUGUCAUAAAUGUUUUAGAUGAGCAAGGAUCACUAAUUGAAACAAAUUCAACUUAAAAAAUUAAGUCUACAAGUUUAAAGUUUGGAAACCAAAUGGUAUAAUAUUUAGAGGACAAGUCAAUGUCAAACUGAGAAUCAACUCUGUUUCCACAGCUUAGCCAACUUAUCCAACGAAGCACGUGAUGUUCCGCCUUCAGCCAUUGCUUCCGCAGCACUCAUUUUCAUCUUGAAAAUCCUCUGACGAAUCUCUUUCCCUUUGUCUGAUUCCAUGAGUUCCCUAACUCGGUCCCCCAACUCAGUCGAACUCACGAACCCAUCCUUGUUCUCUUUCACCGCCAAAGCCACCUUCAUUUCCUUCACCAUAACCAUCCUGUUCAUCUUCUGCUCCGCGUAGAGAGGCCACGCCACCAUCGGCACCCCUUCACACACCGCUUCCAACACCGAGUUCCAACCGCAGUGAGUCACGAACCCACCCACCGAGUCGUGACUCAGAAUCGCCGCCUGUGGGGCCCAGUCCCUCACCACCAUUCCCUUCUCCUUGGUCCUCUCCAAAAACCCUUCUGGCAACAACUCGUCCAGACUCAGUUCCUCCGCCGAGUCAUCAGCACCACCCAACUCGGUUCUCACAACCCACAAGAACCUUUGCUCACUCUUCUCCAACCCAAUAGCUAUCUCCUUCAACUGAGCCCUCGAGAACCUUCCCAUGCUUCCGAAACACAGCAACACGACGCUCUGACUCGGUUGCAAGUUUAGCCAACUCAGACACCCUUUGUCUUCUUCUCCAUACGGUGCAGAAAUCACGGGUCCGACACAAAACAAGGGUGGUGGUACUGUCGCAUCCUCACUUAACGCUCUGAUGGCUUCUUCUUCAAUGGCUUCAAAUGUGUUUACUAUAAUCCCGGCACCACCCAUCAUGGUUUCCGCUAUCUGAAGGAAGACUUGGCAAACGUAACUCAAAGGGUCUUUGCAUUCGUUUGGAAAAUCAUCGGCUGUAAUUGUGGGUAAUCCAGGGAUUUGGAUUUGCAAAGGUUGGUCUUUGUCCUUUUUUUCUAUAAGGACUUGGUUAAUGGGGGGGUAGUAAAGGAGUAAAGCGAGAGGGGAGGCGCCGGAAGUGUAGUAGAAGUAAGUGGGGACGUUGUUGUUGAGAUUUUCAGUGAGGGCUUUGGGGUCGUUGAAGUUCAUGAAGUCCAUGACGAUGGCUUUGAGGUUCGAAGCUUUGGCGAGGGUUUGGAGUGCAACGGCGAUGUUUUGCGUGCUGUGGCGGGUGAGUUCGAGGGAGAGGAGGUGAGGGGGGAGGAAGGGGGUGUUGAAGGGGAGUGCGGCGAGGGGAACGCGGUGGAACGUGAUGGAGGGAGUGGUGGCGGUGACGGUGGCGAUGUAUUGAGCAUUAG
rnacentral:lncRNA from 1 species